GACGAACGCUGGCGGCGUGCUUAACACAUGCAAGUCGAACGGUGAAGCCCCUUCGGGGGUGGAUCAGUGGCGAACGGGUGAGUAACACGUGGGCAACCUGCCCCUGGCUUUGGGAUAACUCCGGGAAACCGGGGCUAAUACCGGAUAUGACUACCUUCCGCAUGGUGGGUGGUGGAAAGGUUUUUCCGGCCAGGGAUGGGCCCGCGGCCUAUCAGCUUGUUGGUGGGGUGAUGGCCUACCAAGGCGACGACGGGUAGCCGGCCUGAGAGGGCGACCGGCCACACUGGGACUGAGACACGGCCCAGACUCCUACGGGAGGCAGCAGUGGGGAAUAUUGCGCAAUGGGCGAAAGCCUGACGCAGCGACGCCGCGUGGGGGAUGAAGGCC
rnacentral:rRNA from 1 species